rnacentral:rRNA from 1 species
AGAGUUUGAUCCUGGCUCAGAUUGAACGCUGGCGGCAGGCCUAACACAUGCAAGUCGAGCGGAUGAAGGGAGCUUGCUCCCUGAUUUAGCGGCGGACGGGUGAGUAAUGCCUAGGAAUCUGCCUGGUAGUGGGGGAUAACGUUCCGAAAGGAACGCUAAUACCGCAUACGUCCUACGGGAGAAAGCAGGGGACCUUCGGGCCUUGCGCUAUCAGAUGAGCCUAGGUCGGAUUAGCUAGUUGGUGAGGUAAUGGCUCACCAAGGCGACGAUCCGUAACUGGUCUGAGAGGAUGAUCAGUCACACUGGAACUGAGACACGGUCCAGACUCCUACGGGAGGCAGCAGUGGGGAAUAUUGGACAAUGGGCGAAAGCCUGAUCCAGCCAUGCCGCGUGUGUGAAGAAGGUCUUCGGAUUGUAAAGCACUUUAAGUUGGGAGGAAGGGCAGUAAGCGAAUACCUUGCUGUUUUGACGUUACCGACAGAAUAAGCACCGGCUAACUCUGUGCCAGCAGCCGCGGUAAUACAGAGGGUGCAAGCGUUAAUCGGAAUUACUGGGCGUAAAGCGCGCGUAGGUGGUUCGUUAAGUUGGAUGUGAAAGCCCCGGGCUCAACCUGGGAACUGCAUCCAAAACUGGCGAGCUAGAGUACGGUAGAGGGUGGUGGAAUUUCCUGUGUAGCGGUGAAAUGCGUA